rnacentral:misc_RNA from 1 species
GAUGAAGAACGCAGCGAAAUGCGAUAAGUAAUGUGAAUUGCAGAAUUCAGUGAAUCAUCGAAUCUUUGAACGCACAUUGCGCCCGCCAGUAUUCUGGCGGGCAUGCCUGUUCGAGCGUCAUUUCAACCCUCAGGCCCCCAGUGCCUGGCGUUGGGGAUCGGCGCGGCGCCCUCCGGGGCGCUGCCGGCCCCGAAAUUCAGUGGCGGUCUCGCUGUAGCCCUCCUCCGCGUAGUAGCACAACCUCGCGGCCUGGAGCUCGGCGGUGGCCAUGCCGUAAAACACCCCACUUCUGAAAGUUGACCUCGGAUCAGGUAGGAAUACCCGCUGAACUUAAGCAUAUCAAUAAGCGGAGUA